rnacentral:tRNA from 1 species
GCGGAUAUGGCGGAACUGGCAGACGCGCACGGUUCAGGUCCGUGUCGGAGCAAUUCGGUGGAGGUUCGAAUCCUCUUAUCCGCACCA